ensembl:lncRNA
UUCUCGUAAAAAAACCGCACCGCAGCUUGUUUUUAUGUCUUUUAAUCUUUGUUUCUCGUUCGUUCUCCGGUGACUUUUCUCAGCGCUUUAAAUCAGAGAUUAAACAAAGUUUCUGAGUCGAGCGAACGAGAUAAAAACAGCACGAUGGAGCAAAAGGACAAGGGAUGGAAAGAAGGAGAUAAAGACAGAGGGAGAAGGGAAGCCUGAUUGGGGGCAGCCGCGGGCCAGCUUCCUGUCCCUCUUGCUGCCUUCUUCCCUCCGUCGUCCACUCUCUCCCCUCGUAGGGGAUGAAGAGAUUAAGAGGAAAUUACACCGAGUCCUUCUCUUCGACAAGGCAGGAGAAGUGGGGAGUCGGAACUUCAAACAACUUUUGAAAAGACGGGAUCAGAGGUCCUGGAAAAAAAGGGGCUGGACGAGGAAAAGACCGGCAGUCACGGAGGAAGAAAAAGACAAAAAAAACCCAAAAGAAGUCAUUUGGGAUUCGAGGUCACGGUAGAUGAAGGGAAGGGGACAGAGAAAGAAGUGAAUUAGAGAAGAAACUGAAUCUCUAUGUUGACCCCGGAAAGGAGGUUAUUGUGGUGACGGAAAAGUAUUUCCACGUAACUAAAGGCCACGAGACUGACACCGAGCUACGAGGGAGGGCUGCGUUUCUGCAGCAAACGAGCUCCUUCACGUAAUGAGCGAGAAGAGAAGGUGCCAAAAAAGAGGGUCGAGUGAGGUGGAUGUGGUGGACAUCAGACCUUCAAAACCCAGCACGUGAACACCAAAGGCAGGAGUUCACGUUGUGAGUCGGCAACUAAAAGCACUUUGGUGAAUGUUAGUGAAGGACGUGGUCUCAAUUAAAUGUUGAAAAAGAAAACACGUUGCAUGUGAUGCUGAGUCUUUUAUCAUCUAAUCAAUAGUUAACCAAAAGCACAAUCCCUGCUCAACCCUAUCUGAGUGCUUUGACUGUCAAAAGACAGCAGAAAAAACACAAAUCAUUCAAGUGGAUGUUAAUGCAAGAUCAC